rnacentral:misc_RNA from 1 species
UCCUACCUGUUUGAAGGUAGUAUCAGAUAUGCAUUGAGUUCAAAGGGCAGCAUCAAGCUCGUGUGGCUCAAUCUUUUUCUAUGAUUAAGUCGUGAGUAGUUCUUAGCUUCACAAAAUGCUGUACGUGUAGCUGCAGAUAAAAGAGGUCAGAUAUGUGUAAAUAGGUCAGAUAUGUUUUAACUGAAGCUGCUCGUGUAUAUUUAUACAACUGAGAAAUAGCUGACAGAGGCAGACAGGUAGGUGGUGUUGUGUCUCUGUAUAUUUCAGUGUAAACUAUUUUGUUGUGAAGUGUAGUUGCUACUAAUGUCCACCUUGAUGACAAUGUUUUUCUUGACGACUCUUAUCGGUCUUUGUGCCUAAUGAAGGAGAUAUGCCAUAGGACCGUUAGUUUUAUGAGAAGCCAAUGCCAAGUCCAACACAAAGACUUUGACACGUGAUGACUAGAAUGGUUUUCGUUUAUUUCUUCCUUCAUUGAUACUUAGCAGCACUUUGAUAAAUAUGUACUUAUGUGAGAUUGUGCAGCACGUGCUGACUACAGGUGCAAAUCGCCAACUUUGAAAUUAGAUUAUAAAUAAACCUCUGUGUUUCAGGCGCUGAAAUUCGCAAAAUAUUAUUUAUAUUAUCUCUGCCUACCAGAAUCCGUUUACAACUCGGACCGAUUGGGUAAUUCUUUAAAGAAAAUAUCCGUCAAUGUUUCGUCACCUGAUGUGACAUAAUACAAAUCCAGGUGUUAACUAUCGCUGAUGUAGAGUAACCUGAGGACUAGGAACACAGAAGACUGCAGGACACCACGAUGGCCCCAGACACAAAUAGAAAAUCGCUUGAUGAACAAGAACAUGGAGAAGGAGAGAGACACUCAGGUGAUGAUGUGGACUCUGGAUGGGCCUGGGUUGUGCUUGUUAGUGUCUUUUGUCUGAUGGCCUUAAUGGCCGGCUUUGAAAACACCCAAGGUCUGGUGUUUGUGGAGAUUGAAGAGAAGUUUAGGGUGUCAGCCUUAGUCACAUCCAUCAUCGGAGGCGCCUACUUCAUCGCCGUCAGCAUCUCAGUGAUUUUCGUCAUGAUGUUCGUGCUGGAAAUGAUGUCUGUGCGACAAUGCAUGCUUAUCGGCGUGGCACUGUACACCUCCGGGGUUGGGGUCAGCUCUGUUGUGAGGUCAUACCCAGGGCUAGUCGUGACCCUCGGGGUAAUAACUGGUGUUGGAGCUUCCUUCUUGUAUGGCCCUAGUUUCGUUUUGCUGGGGAGAUACUUUGACCGCCGCCUGUCCUUAGCUACAGCAGUGGCCAACACUGGGGUCAGCGUGGGGUCAAUUGUAAUACCUUUUGUGAUGCGCCUGUUGCUGGACCAGUUCUCCUUGUCCGGUGGUCUGCUGGUGAUGAGCGCUGUUCUCGCCAAUAUGUUUGUCUGCGCAUGUCUCUUGCGACCCUUCCCGGCAUCGCAUCGUGACGCUCAUUCUACUUGUCACCUUAGUGCCAGCAAAGAUGACAUGGUGUCUGAUCCUCUGUCGGAAAAUACAUCAGAAAAACUUCUCCACACUGAGAAUGAACUUUCAUCAACGCCAGAAAAACAUUGUCUUGGAGAGUUGAGUCCCCUGACUGUGGCUCAAAAACCAGGCACAUCGUCUCCUUUGUCUUGUGAUGACAAUGUUGUUCAGUUAGGAGACAGAGACAGCAUUUUAUUCUAUCCCCAUGAAGGUGUUUCCACAGUUUGUGGUCCAUGCGACAAGAAGACCAGAGUGUGGCUGUCAGCAGCCAGAAGGAGACUUGCACAAACAUUUGACAUCUCUGUCUUCAGGAGAUUGGCCUUCUGGGUGCUGGUGUUUCAUCAGUGGUUCGGAAUUCCGGCUGCAAGUCUUGCUCUUGUCUACUUACCUCCGCUUGCCUUGGAGAAGGGAUUUAGUGAAAGGGAGGCAACCUUCAUGGUGAUGGUGACCGGAGGCUGCGACAUCUUCAGCAGGAUUUUACCAGGAGUUAUCGCCAAUUUCAAACUGCUGCAGCCACACGAGAUGGUGAUAGCAAGUCAGAUGAUCCUGGGAAUCUUGUUUCAGUCUUCCGGCCAUGGUGGCUUUCUCCGCUGUUCUGGGGACCUUCGGCGGUGUCUUCUUUUCCAUGAGGCAGAUGAUGAUCAUUGACUUCGUGGGCCUCCAACGAUUUCCGAUGGUCUUUGGAUUUAUCCAGCUUUUCAACGCCAUCUCAUUAGCUGUUGGAUUUUUAAUUGUCGGGUACAUGAAGGACACAACUGGAUCCUGUAUAAUGUCCUUUCACUACUUGGGUGCUACCCAGAUCGUUUCUUGUGGCAUCUUCUUGUCCUUCCCGCUGUUGAGUCGUUGUUGGCAACGGUGUGGGAGAGAAGCUGAAGG